ACUCCCUCCGUCCCAUUAUUCAUGGCUCAAAACUUUUCGGCACGGGUAUUUAGGAGAGCUAAAGUAGUUGUAAAAGUAGUAGGGACCACAAGAUUAAGGUAUUUCUUUCAACUAUUUUAUUCCUUAACACUUUUGCUUAAUAAGGUGCUUUAUACAAUAAAAUAAAUAAAAAUAAUUGAAAAUUCAAACAAAAAAAUGGGGCUGGAACAGAAAUGAAAACUCCGGCGUCUUCGGCGUCCCCGGCGUCUGCUCUCACUCUCCGGCGUCUCCAGCGUCUGCUCUCCCUCUCCCUCUCAUAUUCUCCUUCCACAGUUUCCCCUCUCUUGCUCCGAUUGACAGCAACAACAAAAAUCAAAACUCAAAACUUACAAUUUUCCCUCAAAAUCUGAAACAGAGCCGCAAAAGAGCCAACACCACCAUUUUCCCCUCUCUUGCUCCGAUUGACAGCAACAGCAAAAAUCAAAACUCAUAACUUCAAAAUCAAUAGCAGCAAAAAUAAAAAAUCAAAAUAGUAAGAGAGGGGAAAAUGAUGGACGCGGUGGAGCGCGCAGGAGGCGGGAGGCGGGAGGCGUGAGGGUGGUAGAGAUGGCAGAUCUCACGCGACGGUGGCUUUCCGGUCGUGCUAUCGCCGGGAAUCGAGGCCAGGGGCUGCAAUUUGAAGGAUCUAGGGUUUGGGGAGAAGGGGCGGCCGCGCUAACCCUUCCCUUUUCUGGGCAUACACAACAAUCCAAGCUAUGGCUUCAGCCGCCGCCGCGAACCAGCCGGGAAAACAGUGGAGGAGAGGUGGAGGCGCGAGGCGGUGGAUGGUGGAGGUGGAGCAGUUUAUGAUGCAGCGGAGGAUGGAGGCAGAGGUAGAACACGCGGUGGACACGGCGGAGGAUGGAGGCAGAGGAUGUGGCGGAGGCGGCGGAGGCGGAGGCGGAGGCGGCGGCGGCGGCGAUGGCCGGCGACUGGUGGAGAGAGCAGAUGAAUCGAGAGGGAGAGAGGAGAGAGUGGCUGAGAAGAGAGAGAAUUGAUGGGUUUUAUUCACCUAUUGAUUAAGUUGUUAAUUAGUUCCCUAAUUAUGGCUCAAAAAGGAAACGAGCCAAGUAGCUUGGGACGGCCCAAAAAGGAAUACGAGCCAUGAAUAAUGGGACGGAGGGAGUA
rnacentral:lncRNA from 1 species